rnacentral:tRNA from 1 species
GGUCCCGUGGUGCAGCGGCCUAGCAUACAUCCCUGUCAAGGAUGAGAUCGCCGGUUCGAAUCCGGUCGGGACCGCCA